AAGGGUUCGCAAUAAUCAUACACUUCGGAAGCAUGAAGCCAGCCCAGGUUUUGGAAGCCCGGGCGCCGAUACUGGCCUGAGGUGAAAAUACUUGUAGGAGCGCCAAGUUAGGCGUGGUGCCUGGAUGGCGCUGGAUGAAGCCCCAGCGCGCGUCAGCUGCGUAUCCGUCAUCAAGUCGCCGAUGUGCUAAUGGCGAGGCCAGCAAUCCAGCAAGCAAGGCGAGCACAUCACUUCAGGAGUCCAGCCAUUGGGUCCACGGGGUGUGAGAAGGGAUCACUCUUUGCCUGGUGUUACACAGGGUACGCUAGAUGGCCGGUAAAGCUGCUGCUGCUGCUGCUGCUGCUGCUGCUGGUAGAGUGACGUAACAACUGGACUCAAAAUAGUUGUCUCAUUGUGCGUGGUGAACGAGUUGGGCAGCAGGUAGGGAUAACGAGGUAAGGAUUAUAAAUGGGUUCGCGGGGCAAAACCCUUUAUUAGCUGUGCAUCCAAGGAAUGGAUGGAAGCCUUGGUGGUGGGCAGUGGCCUAUGACAGGAUGGUAUGCAUGGAUCCACAUACUCUACGUGGCGUGCUUGUGCAGGUACGGUUCAAGUGUCAGAAGAGGAUCAGCCCCCUUGGCAUCUCCCGCGAGUGCUCCUUGUCCUUGGCAUUACAUCGAGUUCCUAGUUGUCCGUUGGUAUACAGGAAUCCGGUAUCGUUCGGUAUCGUCCGGUAUCGUCCGGUAUCGUCCCAAAGUGCAUGACGCUUCUGUACGUGGUGAUAUAUAUGUACAGACGCGUCAUGCUCUUUACUUAUGGUUGGAGCUCAAGCUAAGAACUCCUUUCAUGUCAUAGCCUCUCCCCUCAGCCAUACUGCAAGGGAAGAGUGUGUUCGUAAAACGCCUUCGCUGUGCUCAGGG
rnacentral:lncRNA from 1 species